rfam:Gossypium raimondii chromosome 11, whole genome shotgun sequence.
UUAGCGGCGCUUUUUAGCGCCACUAAAAGUAUUUGCGGCGUUUAUG